UGAGGAAUAUUGGUCAAUGGGCGAGAGCCUGAACCAGCCAAGUAGCGUGCAGGAUGACGGCCCUAUGGGUUGUAAACUGCUUUUAUGUGGGGAUAAAGUGCGCGACGUGUCGUGCAUUGCAGGUACCGCAUGAAUAAGGACCGGCUAAUUCCGUGCCAGCAGCCGCGGUAAUACGGAAGGUCCGGGCGUUAUCCGGAUUUAUUGGGUUUAAAGGGAGCGUAGGCCGCCAGAUAAGCGUGUUGUGAAAUGUACCGGCUCAACCGGUGAAUUGCAGCGCGAACUGUUUGGCUUGAGUGCACGGUAAGCAGGCGGAAUUCAUGGUGUAGCGGUGAAAUGCUUAGAUAUCAUGAAGAACUCCGAUUGCGAAGGCAGCUUGCUGCAGUGCGACUGACGCUGAUGCUCGAAGGUGCGGGUAUCAAACAGG
rnacentral:rRNA from 1 species